GAUCCUGGCUCAGGAUGAACGCUGGCGGCGUGCUUAACACAUGCAAGUCGAGCGAAGCACUUAAGUUCGAUUCUUCGGAUGAAGACUUUUGUGACUGAGCGGGCGGACGGGUGAGGUAACGCGUGGGUAACCUGCCUCAUACAGGGGGAUAACAGUUAGAAAUGGCUGCUAAUACCGCAUAAGACCACAGUACUGCAUGGUACAGUGGUAAAAACUCCGGUGGUAUGAGAUGGACCCGCG
rnacentral:rRNA from 1 species